rnacentral:lncRNA from 1 species
AUUCUCCAGCAACGCGGUGCGGUACCGGGCUGAGUCCAAGCGCCAGGAGCCGCGGGGUCCUGGUUGCUGUUUUCCUGUGACGCUUGGCGGCGGCGGCCAGAGCGGCCCCAGCACCGUGCCCUGGGCUCACUGCGGCUCUCCUAUCACCCAGGGGUCGUCCCGGUCCGCCCGCACUCUUCUCUCCGCCCGACCCCCCUCUGGCUGCGCGUCCUCGGCUGGCUCGGGGAGGGCGCCGCUCCUCCCUGGGAGACCCCAGGGAGACCCGCCUCACGGCCUGCGCACCUCCUCUCGCUCUAAAGCGGCCGCUGGAGGAGCCACAGGUCUGGCGGGUCCAUGUCGAGGUGCCCUGGGCUCCCGCACGACCCCACGGCCUCCUGCGUCCCGCACCUCUUGUGUCCUGCAGCCGCCCGCGUCCUCUCUGGGACCCCUUCCUUCCGAGUCCGUCCACAUCCCCGGCGGUUCCUCUGAAAUCCGCACCCCCCAACCCCGGAACCUCGGCUCUUCCGCGCGCUCCUCGUCCCCGCAUCCUCAGCCCCUAGAUGUCCUCCGCGUUCUGUAUCCCCCUGCACCACACCGCUCCCUCUCUCCCUGCCCUUCGCACUAGGACCCUCAGGGACCAAAAUCGUCCAAGAUGCCUUCCCUGGUGUCGAGUUUAUGUUAAGGGGUUGGGUGAGGAGACCAAAAAGCAGUGGAUGUGGUAACCACAGGGGCGCCGUGUGUCCGAGUCGGGCGCCUGUCGGAGGAAGCGAGACGGGAGGAGAGGCUGCGGCUCGCGCCCUGGGCAGCGACAGUGUGGACGCCAUUGCAAUUUCCCAACGGCUGCCACC